AUACCUUUCUCGGCCUUUUGGCUAAGAUCAAGUGUAGUAUCUGUUCUUAUCAGUUUAAUAUCUGAUACGUGGAUCAUUGGUUCACUAUGAUAUUAAAUUAAUUUUUUAUUGGGGAGGGUCCACUACAGUAGUUUACUACUGGGUCCCUUGCGCGUCGCCUUUGUCUUGCACUAAUGCAAGGGCUGGCGCACCCGAC